rnacentral:rRNA from 1 species
AUACGAAGGCGGCGAGCGUUGUCCGGAAUGAUUGGGCGUAAAGGGUCCGUAGGCGGUCCGGCCAGUCUGGAGUGAAAUCCAUGUUUUUAAGAUGGGAACUGCUUUGGAUACUGUCGGGCUAGGGUGCAGGAGAGGUAAGUGGAAUUCCGAGGGUAGCGGUGAAAUGCGUAGAGAUUGGGAAGACCAGCAGUGGCGAAGGCGUCUGACUAUACUGUAACUGACGAGGGAGCGCGAAAGGGUGGGGAGCAAACAGGAGUAGAUACCCUGGUAGUCCACGCUGUAAACGAUGAAUGCUAGGUGUAGGGGGUAUCUGCCCCUUCUGUGCCGCAGUCAACACAAUAAGCAUGCCGCCUGGGGAGUACGGCCGCAAGGUUGAAACUCAAAUGAAUUGGCGGGG